rnacentral:rRNA from 1 species
UACGGAGGAUCCAAGCGUUAUCCGGAUUUAUUGGGUUUAAAGGGUGCGUAGGCGGAAUGAUAAGUCAGUGGUGAAAGCCUGCAGCUUAACUGCAGAACUGCCAUUGAUACUGUCAAUCUUGAGUACAUUUGAUGUGGGCGGAAUGUGUCAUGUAGCGGUGAAAUGCUUAGAUAUGACACAGAACACCGAUUGCGAAGGCAGCUCACAAAACUCUAACUGACGCUGAGGCACGAAAGCGUGGGUAUCAAACAGG